AAAGGGGGCUUAGUUGGUAGAAUGUUUGCCUCACAAGCACAAGACCCUGAGUUCAAUCCCCAGCACUGUA
rnacentral:tRNA from 1 species